rnacentral:rRNA from 1 species
ACGAACGCUGGCGGCGUGCUUAACACAUGCAAGUCGAACGGAAAGGCCCUGCUUUUGUGGGGUGCUCGAGUGGCGAACGGGUGAGUAACACGUGAGUAACCUGCCCUUGACUUUGGGAUAACUUCAGGAAACUGGGGCUAAUACCGGAUAGGAGCUCCUGCUGCAUGGUGGGGGUUGGAAAGUUUCGGCGGUUGGGGAUGGACUCGCGGCUUAUCAGCUUGUUGGUGGGGUAGUGGCUUACCAAGGCUUUGACGGGUAGCCGGCCUGAGAGGGUGACCGGGCACAAGGGGACUGAGGAAGGCCGCAGACUCCAACGUGGCGCAGGGGGGGGAAACCUUACGGAACGGGGGGGAGCGUGUGGUGAAAGCCCCGGGUUCGGAAAACCCUCUUUUGGGGGGAAAACCAAUUUGGCAGUAACCAAGCACGGAUUGACGGUACUGGGUAAAAAAGCCCCGGCUAACUACGU